CGGACGGGUGAGUAAUGUAUGGGGAUCUGCCUGAUGGCGGGGGAGUAACUACUGGAAACGGUAGCUAAUACCGCAUAAUGUCUACGGACCAAAGCGGGGGACCUCCGGGCCUCGCGCCAUCAGAUGAACCCAUAUGGGAUUAGCUUGUAGGUAAGGUAACGGCCUACCUAGGCGACGAUCCCUAGCUGGUCUGAGAGGAUGAUCAGCCACACUGGGACUGAGACACGGCCCAG
rnacentral:rRNA from 1 species